AUUGAACGCUGGCGGCAGGCCUAACACAUGCAAGUCGAGCGGAGCGGCGGACGGGUGAGUAAUGCCUAGGAAUCUGCCUGGUAGUGGGGGAUAACGUCCGGAAACGGGCGCUAAUACCGCAUACUAUCAGAUGAGCCUAGGUCGGAUUGGCUAGUUGGUGGGGUAAAGGCCUACCAAGGCGACGAUCCGUAACUGUUCUGAGAGGAUGAUCAGUCACCCUGGAAUGGAGACCCGGUCCAGACUCCUACGGGAGGAAGCAGUGGGGAAUAUUGGACAAUGGGCGCAAGCCUGAUGCAGCCAUGCCGCGUGUAUGAAGAAGGCCUUAGGGUUGUAAAGUACUUUCAGCGGGGAGGCGUGACCCGCAGAAGAAGCACCGGCUAACUCCGUGCCAGCAGCCGCGGUAAUU
rnacentral:rRNA from 1 species